AUCCUUAUGCAAGGGAAUUACGCAUAUCAGUGAGGAUUCGUCCGAGAUUGUGUUUUUGCUGGUUGAAAACUUUAACCACGACCUCUCCUUUCAGUCUUUUGGCCUUGAGCCUGACUAUUAGGGAAUUUUUGGAAUCUUUUUUCA
rnacentral:snRNA from 1 species